UACGUAGGUGGCAAGCGUUAUCCGGAUUUACUGGGUGUAAAGGGCGUGUAGGCGGGAAAGCAAGUCAGAUGUGAAAACCAUGGGCUCAACCUGUGGCCUGCAUUUGAAACUGUUUUUCUUGAGUACUGGAGAGGCAGACGGAAUUCCUAGUGUAGCGGUGAAAUGCGUAGAUAUUAGGAGGAACACCAGUGGCGAAGGCGGCUUACUGGACUGUAACUGACGUUGAGGCUCGAAAGCGUGGGGAGCAAACAGG
rnacentral:rRNA from 1 species